GUGUUCCAGGUAAAUCCGGUUCACUUUAACACUGAGGCGUGACGACGAGGCACUACGGUGCUGAAGCAACAAAUGCCCUGCUUCCAGGAAAAGCCUCUAAGCAUCAGGUAACAUCAAAUCGUACCCCAAACCGACACAGGUGGUCAGGUAGAGAAUACCAAGGCGCUUGAGAGAACUCGGGUGAAGGAACUAGGCAAAAUGGUGCCGUAACUUCGGGAGAAGGCACGCUGACACGUAGGUGAAGUGAUUUACUCAUGGAGCUGAAGUCAGUCGAAGAUACCAGCUGGCUGCAACUGUUUAUUAAAAACACAGCACUGUGCAAACACGAAAGUGGACGUAUACGGUGUGACGCCUGCCCGGUGCCGGAAGGUUAAUUGAUGGGGU
rnacentral:rRNA from 1 species